rnacentral:rRNA from 1 species
AGUGAACGCUGGCGGUAGGCCUAACACAUGCAAGUCGCACGGCAGCACAGUAAGAGCUUGCUCUUACGGGUGGCGAGUGGCGGACGGGUGAGGAAUACAUCGGAAUCUACUUUUUCGUGGGGGAUAACGUAGGGAAACUUACGCUAAUACCGCAUACGACCUACGGGUGAAAGCAGGGGAUCUUCGGACCUUGCGCGAUUGAAUGAGCCGAUGUCGGAUUAGCUAGUUGGCGGGGUAAAGGCCCACCAAGGCGACGAUCCGUAGCUGGUCUGAGAGGAUGAUCAGCCACACUGGAACUGAGACACGGUCCAGACUCCUACGGGAGGCAGCAGUGGGGAAUAUUGGACAAUGGGCGCAAGCCUGAUCCAGCCAUACCGCGUGGGUGAAGAAGGCCUUCGGGUUGUAAAGCCCUUUUGUUGGGAAAGAAAAGCAGCGGGUUAAUAUCCCGCUGUUCUGACGGUACCCAAAGAAUAAGCACCGGCUAACUUCGUG